UUUUAGAGAAGGUGUUGAAGAAUUUGAUGAUAGCUGUCCAAGAAUGUGCAAGUCGAGAUUCCUAGCGAAUUGGUCGUCAUGAUAUGCGUUGAGGGAGAUAUAUGAGAAGCUCGGAGAAACAAAGGAAAUUUAUAAUAUUUUGAAACCAACUGGAAGCGAGUCAGAUCUAUCAGUUGAGAUCAUUGAUGAUGGGUUAUGGGAUGAUUUAGAGCUGGGAGAUGAUGGGGAUAGGGAUGACCCAAUUGUUGAUGGUUGGAACAAGAUUAUUAUCCAUGACCAAGUAAAAAUUCUUUGGGAGGAUCUGUACAAGAUGGAUGUCAAAACUCGAAAGAUAGAACACGAGCCUGAGAGGAUUUGUGAAGAACUUGUGGGUCCGAGGGUGUGUGAGGAAACUUAGGCAGGAUGUGAGAGUUUGGAAACAAGAGUUUCCCAGUUGGAAGCAAGCCUGAAGGUGAGAGAUGACAUAAUUGGUCAGUUGGAAGCAAGAAUAAAGAGUAUGGAAGAUGACCGCAAUCCGAGGGACAGAUUUGGGAACAUGGAGGACUUGUUUGAUCAUAUGAUCGUUUUGACACUGGUGGAGGCCAAGAAAAUGGUAUAAAUUAUGAACUUAUUUAUUAGGGUCUGUUUUUAAGACAAAUGAUUAACCUUUAUAUAUUGUUAUUUUAGAUGAUAUUUUAGAUGGUAUAAAUUAUAACUAAUACUACCAAGUAAACUAUGGAAAAAAUACUCUGACGGAUACAACUGGUACAACUGGUACAACUAAAUAACAAAAGGUACAACUGUUGUUCUUAAAAUGUAUUACACAUUUAAAACGUGAUAAUCAGCUUAAACAUAAUAAGGUUAUUAACAAGUAGUUGUACCAGUAUUUUAGCUGUACAAUCUAAUACAUAGUUGUAUCAGGUAUUGAGUUGUACAAGUUUGUUCAUAGUUGUAUUUUGGUAGAGAAUUUGAAUUGUGUAGUUGUACCACAUUAAAAAUAUAUAUACCUCAGUUGUACAGCCUUUUAAUUCUUAAAUGCAUUGAACCACAUACAAAUUAAUCAUUAAUUUUGUUAAAAUAUAUUUUUGUGUACGUUUUCCAAAAAUAUAGUGAACAAACUAGUAAACAAACCUUUAAAGUAUAAGGUAGAUCAUGCAAACUUAUGUGAUUGUGUAAUAAUUGAAUUUUUUUUGGUAAAACUUCAAACAAUUAGAUGGAAAACUUAUAUAUUCUAUUGUUAUUUAAUUAUUGAAAGCCAAAUGGAGUUUUAAAAUGUCAUAUUUUAAGAAGUUGUACCAGUAUUUCCUUCCUCGUGUAUAUAAUGUAAUUGAUCUAGUUGUACUAGUAUUACAUCAUAUAGUUAUACUAGUUGUACCAGUACGACAACACAUAAACAUGAUUGUUAUGUUAUAUGAAGUUUUACCAGUUGUACAUGUCGUACCUCACAGAAACAACACAUUAUAUAAGUUCCACAACACAUAAAUAAGUUCCACAAUACAUAAAUAAGUCCCAUAACACAUAAUUAAGACUCACAACAUAUAAUCAAGUUCGAUAACACAUAAGUUAGAGUCAUUCAUCAUUUCCUUCGUUGUCACCUCCCUCGUCACCACUUCCUUCGCUGCCACUUUCCUCGCUGUCACUUCCCUCAUUGAUGCUUUCUUCGUAAUCGAUGUCAUCGUUAUCAUUGUCAUCUUUGUCACUACUGUCACCAAGCCUGAUGUGCCGCAGUCCACGGAUCAGUACAUGGAACCAUCUCAGCAUGGAGUUCAGGAUGUUCUGAACAUUUUAACCGAGGUUCAUGUUUUUUACCGUACCAGACUUGACUUAGAUCAUGCCAGACUUGACUUGGAUCGUGUCAGACUUGACAAGGAUCAUGCCAAACUUGACUUGGAUCAUGCAAGACUUGACUUGGAUCAUGGGGUUUCACAAAAUGAUCGAGACUUCUCUCUUUUGGCUCGAUUGGCUCGUACCGCAUGUACCGACGACCAUGCUGAAGAUCUCUCUACCUUGUUCGAUCCAAUCAUGGACUUUUUCUUUGGACAUUUCUCUAAGGCAAGGGUCCAUAAGUUAUCAGAAGACUUGGGUUUUGUUGGAACGUAACUUGUCCGAUCAGAACACCCCGCGGCCUUAGCAGAACGUCUCGCAGCCCUUGCUGAUCGUCCCGCUUAUGUGACUGUCCUUACCGCCUUGGACUAGCCGGUCAAGAGGCAUCUUGAUGGAAGCCGAUCAGUCACAUUAAUUAAUCUUGUCUUUAUUUUCGUUUAAUGACUAGAUCUAGAUAAACUUUUAUAUUUAAUUCCUAGAUCUACAAAACUCUAUAAGUAUAAAACUCUUUCAUUUUAAUAAAUCAGAAAUCGAUUUUGUCUAAAGUUUGAGUUAAACUCUUUGUUCUUCGUUUAAGAACUUGUCUUGUUUCUUGGUAAGUCAUAUCCAAGUAAACACUUCCUCAAAUCGUUGGUCUUGUGAGUCAUAUCAAGCAACGACGAGAAAUCCUUCACUUGGUGGUCUUGUGAGUCAUAUCAAGCACCAUCUGAAGUCGGGAAUAUCGAAGGCCAUUCUUCAACCUUCACGCGACCCUUCAAUCCAUCCAGUUCUCCAUCUAUAGUUCAUAUCCAAAUCUGAUCCAUUCGAGUGAGCCGAUCUUAGGGUCCUUCAAGUGGUAUCAGAGCCGCUCGUUUGGUAUCUUCUAAAUCAUUCAUCUUUCUCAUCUUCCAUUUCUAAAUCAUAAACACUUCUUCUUCUUUCUAUCUUGAAUCCGGGCCCCGCAUUACCAUCAUCUAUCUAUAAAAAGAAAAAAGAUCUAUAAAAAAAAAAAGAAUUCGAAAAGUUUUUCAUUCGGGGAUUGGUGGUGGAAGAGAAAACCUGCUGGCUGAGGAGAAAUCCAGCUUUUGUGGUGGUUAAAACGGAUUCCCAAAAAUCAAAAAUCUCUUAUCUUUCUCUCUUAAGAAAUUCCUUUUGUGCUUGCUUGGAUUUUGUCCAUUGGAAUUCUUUGAUUUGUUCUUCUUAGAACAUUGAGUAGAAACUUGUGUGUAAUCACCAAAAAUUUUUUUUUUGAGAGAAACACUUGAGUGGGUGAUUAAACACUUGAGAGUGUGAGGUUUUAUUUCCUAACUUUUGUGUUGAGAUUUUCAGGUUAUGAUGUUUGGUCUUCAAAGGAAAAGUAGCAAAGAGAAACCCCCACGACAAACUGUCUCUCAAUUUCCAUUCAAAUAUUCUUUGAAUAAUUUUGAUGAGUUUGUUAGUGUGCAGGAAAAGCCAAACCGAAGGUGCAAAGAACAAAACAAAACGACCAGAGAUGUGGCUGAUCCCAAGAGGCGAUUGUUUCAAUUUGAUGUCCUAGAGUUUGGUGAUAACUUUGAGAAGGGAAUGAUGAAAACCCUCAAGGACAUCAGCAAGAAGCAAAAGAAGAGCACAUCCACACGUACACCUGUAGCUGAGCCAUCCUUAUUCAUCAGCAAGAAAUUCAAAGGUAAAUCUGAAACCAAUGUUGAGGAGUUGAAAUAUUUUUCAGAUUCUUUACCUAUCUAUGAUGAAUAUGAUGAAGAACCAGUUGAAAGCUUGAUGAUUUGUGAGAAAAACAUGUGAUUUUCCUUCUUCUGAAUCUAAGCUUAUGAUUGAUAAUGAACAGACUAUUGUAGAUAUAACUGUUUUGCAACCGGAGCAUCCAAGUAGUCUUGUUUUGUCUCAACAGGUUUUUGAGGAAGAGCCAUUGGACUAUCCACAUCAAGGACCAUGUCUUGACACUAGGAACCCCUUGGAUGAGGAUUUAGGUCAUAUCUUUGAUGAGGAGGAUGAACCUGGCCCAGUAUUUGAUCAAGAAGCAACAAGCAUUACCUCCAUCAUUAUGGAGAGCCAUCUAUGUUUUGAUCCCGGCAUAACUCCUGUCUCUUUGACUCCUGAUCUUCAAGAGCACUUGUUUGUUUUGAGUAUCCAGGAAAGACAGGUUCAGCCUCUGAGAAAUGAAACCAUCGACCGUGCCCAAUAGCCUGAGAUUUGGAGAAGCUUUGUUGUCCAAACCGGCUACCUUGGAGAUGCCAUAGACUAGGUUCAGUCCAAAAAGGAUAUCUCAACAUUCAGAAGGUCUUUUGUCAUCAAUACAAUUUCCCUGGAAAGACAACUAAACAAGGAUUCACUGAGGCUUGGAAUCACUUCAACAUCUUCACGGAGGAAGGAGUUAUGAAUUUUCCAAAUCGGAGGUUCUCCAGUCUGUCUAUCCGCGAGUACCAGACUUCUAAAGGAGAUUCAAGUCCAAGAAAGAAGCGGCCUGAGCCAAAACCGAUCCUCAACGAACCAAAUGUGUUUCCUCAGUCAACCUCCUUUCCAAACCAAAAGCACUGUAAGGAUCAUGGGUUGAUUGUCUCUACUCAUCAUGAAAACGUUUUGAAUCCGAGAAUAUCUAAGUAAAAACAAAUCUUUACUUGGUUGAAAAACGCUUUACUUAAACCUUUUCAUGAAUUGUUUUCAUUGAGCUGUGCUUUCAAAGAAAUUUGGUUUAGGAAAAGGCAUGAACCAAAAUUUCUUAGGCCAAAUAAUCAAUUUGAUUUCAUUCAUGAUGAGAAUUUUUCGAAAUUGGCAUUGCCUCAUUGUUUUCCUAACAGUUUCACAGCUUGGCCUGAUUUUGAGAUUGAUAAACCAAUUUUUGGCAAUCAUUUAACUUGCUUGAUACUUGCUUGAUACUUGCUUGAUACUUACCCACGUGCUUAAUGAUUAUCCUAAGGGCUUGGAUCCUGAUUUUGAUGUCUUAAGGAUAGAGAAACGCUUUGAUUAUUUCUUUCGCAGAUUUGAUGUGGUUUCUCUAGUUGUUUUGAAUGAACAGGAUAAGCAUGAUCAGUUUCCAAGGAGAGCAAGCACAGGUGAAUCCCUAAAGACUUGUGUUCGUGGAAUAUGUAACCGGGCAUACUUGAGGGAAACGAGUCCAAACCUCCAAGGAAGUUUUUGUCCAAAAUCUUCCUUCAUUGAAUUUUCCAUGAAUUUUAAAUCCUUUGUAUCUGAUUUAUUCCCUUUUGAUACAGGUACAAUGGAUUUGAGGACAAAUCCUUUUAAAGAGGGAGGGAAUGAUGUGCCGCAGUCUACGGAUCAGUACAUGGAACCAUCUCAGCAUGGAGUUUAGGAUGUUCUGAACAUUUCAACCGAGGUUCAUGUUUUUCACCGUACCAGACUUGACUUAGAUCAUGCCAGACUUGACUUGGAUCGUGCCAGACUUGACAAGGAUCAUGCCAGACUUGACUUGGAUCAAGCCAGACUUGACUUGGAUCAUGAGGUUUCACAAAAUAAUCGAGACUUCUCUCUUUUGGCUCGAUUGGCUCGUACCGCAUGUACCGACGACCGUGCUGAAGAUCUCUCUACCUUGUUUGAUCCAAUCAUGGACUUUUCCUUUGGACAUUUCUCUAAGGCAAGGGUCCUUAAGCUAUCAGAAGACUUGGGUUUUGUUGGAAUGCAACUUGUCCGAUCAGAACGCCCCGCGGCGGCCUUAGCAGAACGUCUCGCGGCCCUUGCUGAUCGUCCCGCUUAUGUGACUGUCCUUACGGCCCUGGACUUAGCCGGUCAAGAUGCAUCUUGAUGGAAGCCGAUCAGUCACAUUAAUUAAUCUUGUCUUUAUUUUCGUUUAAUGACUAGGUCUACUUUUCUAUUUAAUUCUUAGAUCUACAAAAUUCUAUAAGUAUGAAACUCUUUCAUUUUAAUAAAUCAAGAAAUCGAUUUUGUCUAAA